rnacentral:lncRNA from 1 species
ACAGGGUCUCACUCUGUCCCCCAGGCUGGAGUGCAGUUGCACAAUCUCGGCACAGUGACACGAUCUUGGCUCAGUGCAGCCUCCACCUCCUGGGUUCAAGCAAUCCUCCCAGCUCAGCCUCCUGAGUAGCUAGGACUACAGGUGCCUACCAUCAUGCCCGGCUAAUUUUUGUAUUUAUUUUUUAAUAGGGACGAAGUUUCACCAUGUUGGUCAGGCUGGUCUCAAACUCCUGGCUCAAGUGAUCCUCUCACCUCAGCCUCCCAGAGUGCUGGGAUUACAGGCGUGAGCCACUAUGCCCAGCCUAUAUCUCUUGUUUCUUAUAAAGUAAUAUUAAAAAUCCCCACUUCAUUUAGUUUUUUAUGCUUUAAAUAUUGAAGAGACUAAGUUCACUCCGUGUUCUGACUUUUGCUGAUGGUUUUCUCUUAGUACGAUUUAACUUGUUUCUCUGUCUCCUGUAUUUCUGUAGACUGGAAGUUAGCUCUAGAGGCUUGCUUAAAUUUCAUCUCAAGUAAUGCCUUACUUUCCCACUGCAUUACUUUAGGAAGCACGUGAAGCCUGGUGUUCUCACUUACAGAGUGGAGAGCUUUGAAAUACCUUCAGAACUUUAAGGCAACACUGUUUUUGGUCUGGUGAAUUUUCUACAUCUUGAUUAUUUGACUUCUCGGGUAAGUUUUAAUAUGUUGUGACCUCUCAGGUAAGGCAUUAGUUAUUCAAAACAAAUAUGUUUUUUGAGAAAGAACAGGAGACUUCCCUUGGAGUUGGGAAACAAAAAAAAGAACAAAAAUUUCUCAAUCUGCAGAGUCACCCCGACUAGCACCCUGCUUAAGUUGUGCACUGUCCAACUCCAGAGAGCGUUAGUUGCAAAAACUGUAAGAAUGGAGCUCCAGAAGUGUGUAUCACAGUGGCCCUGGAAUCUCCAACAAAGACAAUGGACUCCCAGAUCGCAAGGUGUAUCCUGCUAUUCAGCAUAUAAAGGUAUUUCAGCACUUAAAAUAAACAUAUUAGAAUUCUAAUCCCCUUUUCAGGCUCACUUUAAAAAAUGUAUUAUCUCCUGAAAAGCACAACCAAGGGAAUAGAAAUCAUCAGAAUCCUGUCACUAAUAUUUCUGUUAGAAUCACAUUAAUUUUCAAAUAAUUGACACCUUUAUUACAUUUUCAGUCACUAAGAUCCACACAUAAUUCACUUUUCUUUUUUUUUUUAAGUUUCCUUUAAAUGUUGUAAUUUUCUUGUUUUAACUUCCUCACAACUUUUGUUAAGUUUAUUGCUGGUUAGCUUUUGUUUUUGGUUCUUGUUAUGACCAGGAUCUUUUUUGAGAUAUGUAAAUCUUUAGCUUUUGGAUAUAUUACACUCUUCUGAACUCUCCAAAACUCAUGCUGUUUACCCGUUCUUAACUUUAUCCCUUGACUCUCUACUUCUGAACCCUGAAUAUCUACUGCUUUCUCAGUACCUAGAGGGAACCCAUAUAUCAAAAUAAAACCUUUGAUAUUUUAUUAUUUCUUGUGUUUCAACCAGAGCAAAUGAUUAACAUUGUGUUUGAAGUUGCUGAUGCUAUUCUGAAAAAUUCUGAUCCAAGACUUGUCUUGCUACUUUACUCAAUUAUUGAUAUUAAAGGCACAGUUCAUGACACAUGGCAAAUCAUUAACAUUUUCCUCCAAAUGAGACAUCCAACUUGUUAAAGAACCCUGAAACCAAUUUCUCACUGGAUUUUCAGUUUGAAUAAUGUAAUUGCAUUCAACUUGAGUUCCUUUAAGUAUAUCCUGCUAUGAGUACUUCCAAUGCGCCUUCCUCUAUGGGCACAAUUAUGUCUCAGUGAACAGCAGGCUGAAACUACAUCAAAGAGAAGGACUAUUUUAACAGUUCAACACAGUGAAUUGGAUGUCAAGAAAUCUUAGUUUUGCAACAGCUAACCGGGACAAUAGCAUUUGUCUAUAACUAUGUAUAAGUAUCUGAAGGUUAAUAUUUCUUAUAUUUGCAAUUUCAAAAAUCCUUUUAGCCUUAAUGUUGGGCAUGGUAAAAAAGUAAAUUAAGAAGCAGGAGAAUCGGCAGGGCAUGGUGGCUCAUGCCUGUAAUCCCAACACUUUGGGAGGCCAAGGCAGGUGGAUCACCUGAGGUCAGGAGUUCAAGACCAGCCUGACCAACCUGGUGAAACCCCAUCUGUACUAAAAAUACAUGAGGCCGAGGUGGGCGGAUCAUGAGGCCAGGAGAUCGAGACCAUCCUGGCUAACACGGUGAAACCCCCUCUCUACUAGAAAUACAACAAAUUAGCCAGGCAUGGUGGCGGGUGCCUGUGGUCCCAGCUACUCCGGAGGCUGAGGCAGGAGAAUGGCAUGAACCCAGGCGGCGGAGCUUGCAGUGAGCCGAGAUCACGCCAUUGCACACCAGCCUGGGUGAUAGAGCAAGACUCUGUCUCAAAAAAAAAAAAAAAAAAAAGAGAGAGAAAAACAAACAAAAAUGAGCUGGGCGUGGUGGUGUGCUCCUGUAAUCCUAGCUACUCGGGAGGCUGAGGCAGGAGAAUCACUUGAACCUGGGAGGCGGAUGUUGCAGUGAGCCGAGAUCACGCCAUUGCACUCCAGCUUGGGCGACAAGAGCAAAUCUCCAUCUCAAACAAAACAAAACAAAACAAAACAAAACAAAACAAACAAACAAAAAAAGAAGCAGGAGAAUCCUCUAAAAUUAAAUUUAAAGGAAAUCUUUGAGGCCACCCAGCCCCAUUCCUCCAAAAGAGAGAAUGUGAUGCACAGAUGCCUUUUUAAAUAUGAGAGCAAGUCAAUACUGUAGACAGAAGCCAGCCCGCAGAUAUCAACUAGAACUUAGCUACCUAACACUUGGUCCUGUAACUUUACUAACUACUGUUGCUUCGUGAAAUGUACUUUAAACCGAUAGUCCAGAGCAUAGGAGGUUAAAUGCCAUAGAGGUGUAUUUUUCCUACCAAGCUCAUCCAUGAUUAAGGGCAAAGGGAAAUGUUCUCAUCUGGUACUCCUCUACUAUUUGAGAAUUAAAAAGCCACUUUGGACUGUCUGCCAGUGACUUCUCCACAUGGUGUAGCUCCUGGAAAGUUUACUUGACACACAUUUGAAUCUUGGUAUGAUUACCUGAAGGUAAUAAAAGUUAAAUUUUAAAAAGUAAAUCACAAUUUGUCACAUCUCUGUAUUAGUUUGCUAGGAUUGCCAUAACAAAGUACCACAGGCUAGGUAGAGACAUUUAUUUUUCAUAGUUCUGAAGGCUGGAAAUCCAAGAUCAAAAUGUGGGCAGGUUUAGUUUCUUCUCAGAGCCUGCAUGUGGCCGUCUUCUGUGUCUCCAUAUAGUCUUCCCUUCUGUGUCUGCACCCUCAUUUCCUUUUCUUAUAAGGAUACCAGUCAUAUUGGAUUAAGGCCCAGUCAUUAUUGCAUUUUAUUUUAAUGAACUCUUUAAAGGCACUAUCUCCAAACAGGCGUAUUCUGAGAUACCAGGGAUUAGGGCUUUGGCAUGAAUUUUGCGGGGGACACAAUUCAGUCCACAACAGUUCACUACUCAAAAACUUUCCCUGACUAGUUUUGAAAACUCUUCCCUUGUAGCUCUCCCUCUUGCUCACUAAUCUCCAGUUGAAUAGGCUUCCGCUCAAUUACUAAAAUGUGCAAGACCUUUUCUGCAAGAGCUUUGUAAACACUACGCCCUCUUCCUGGAACGCUGUCUCCUCAGCUUUGCCUGACUAAUUCCUUACUGUUCUUGGGGUCUCAGCUUAAAUAUUUCUUCUCCAAAAGGUAGGAUAUCAAAUUAGGCAUAAAAUUCGAUGAUAGAAAUAUAUCCAUAUAUGUAAAUAACUGUAAUUACUGCAAAACAGACUAAAUGAUCCAGGAAAGUAGACAAUAUUUUCAGAUUAGCUAAAAAGAUCAAAUUCCAGCUCUGUGUUAUGUAUAAGAAACAUAAGUUUGAAAAUAAAAACACAGACAAACAUAACCUAUGCAAAUUAUAAACAAAAGAAAACUGAGGUGUCUCCAUUAAUUAUCAGACUAGGCAGUUUAAACACAAAGAAGAAAAAACAAUCGUUAUGAGUGAUAAAUUCUAUAUCAAAAUUGUGACCUUCCAUUUCUCAAACUUCACCAAUAAGAAAGUAAAAUGACAAGCCACAAAAUGGGAACAUAUAUUUUCAGAACUACAACUGGAAGAGAAUUAAAAUCUGUAAUAUAUAAAUAACUUUUUCAAAUUAAUGACAGUGAGAAAAACAGCCCACUAGAAAAUGGGGAUAUCAUUUCAACAAAUAAUUCACAAAAGAGAAAACUUACAAAAAGAUACUUAAUAUCAUUAGUAAUCAAGGAAAUGUAUUUUAAAUCACAGAUGCCAUUUCACAUCUUUAGAUUAGCAAAAAGGAAAAAUGUUAACAUUGUCAAGUCUUGCAAGGAUGUAGGGUACCUAGAACUCUUCUAAAAAGCAGAUGGGGGUAUAAAUUGAUACAACUUUGGAAAACCCCUUGGCAUGAUUUAUUCAAGUAGAAAGUAGAUAUACACUAAACAUGACUCAGCAUUUUACUCCUAGGUUUAUAAUCUGGACUGAGGGCCAAUGAGCUGUGCCCUGAGGGCUCAAUCUAGCCCAAGUCUUGUUAUAUUGCAAUAUAUACAUGUCCAUUUGUUUAUGUAGUGUCUACGGCUGCUUUCACAGUAUACAGGCAGAGUCAAGUAGUUGCAACACAGACCAUAUGGCUCUCAAGCCAAAAAUAUUUACUAUUUGGCCAGUAACAGAAAAAGGUUGCCAACCUUUGAUCUAGAGAAAUUCUUGCAUUUGUCCACCAGAAGACAUUUACAAAAAUAUUUAUGGCAACACUAUUUUUAACAAGAAACUGGAAGCAAUCCAAAUGUCCAUCAAUAGUAAAUUGUUACACAGAAUAAAAAUAUAUGAGUUAACUAGAGUUUCACAUAACAAAAUGAUGCAUCUCAGGAGCAUAAUGUUGAACAAUAGAAAUGUCUCGGAAAAAUUACAGUAUGGUUCCAUUUGCAUAAAAUUUAUUAUAGCAUCUUAUUAUUUAGGUGCACAAACGUGGUAGUAUUGUACAUAGAAGGAAGACAAUGAUAAAUUCAAAAUUCAAGAUAAUGGCUAGCUCUGAGUGGGGAUACAAAGGGAAGAGAUUCUGAAAGGGUAGGGGCAGGUUUUUCAAGUUAAGGUAGGUAAUGCUUUCCUCCUUAAACUUGGUGGUGGUUUCCAGGUGCUCAUUAUAUUAUUUUUCUUUAUAUCCUAUUGUUAUAAACAGAAUUGUGUCCUCACAAAAUUCGUAUGUUGAAGCCCCAAUCCCAGUGUCACUCUAUUUGGAGAUAAGACCUUUAUGGAGGUAAUUAAGGUUAAAUGAAGUCAUAAGCAUGGGGCCCUAAUCCUGUAGAACUGGUGUCCUUAUAAGAAGAUGAGGGGACAUCAGAACAUGUGUUUUUCUCUCUCUCUCUCUCUUUCUCUCUCUUCUCUCUCUCUCUCUCUCUCUGCCUCUGUCUUUCUCUCUCUGCACAGGCACAGAGGAAAAGCCAAGUUAGUACACAAUGAGAAGUUGGCUGUCUACAAGCCAGAGAGAAAGUGCUUGCCAGAAAUAGAAUUUGCAGGAAUCUUGAUCAUGGACCUUUAUCCUCCGGAACUGAGAAAAAUAAAUGUCUGUUGUUUAAGCCAUCUAGUCUGUGGUAUUUGUGAUGGUAGCCUGAGCAGACUAACAUAAACAUGAACAUGUUUAUAAAUGUUUUAUGCAUUCAAUAUUUUUAUUAAAAUUGUGGGAGUAAUAAGACCUCUUGAGGGGAUAUUUAAGCUGAGUUCUGAGGAAUAAGUAAAGGUAUUAUAUUGAGUACAGUAUUUGUAUCUCUCGAGUGAUUGAAUGUAUCGGCAUUAAUUUUAUCCUGUGUCAGUUUUGGUAUUCUGUGUCUUUAAAGGACUUAUUUAAAUUAUCCAAUUUACUGACAUGUUCAUGCUAUUUCCUUAUGAUCCUUUUAAUGUCUAUAGGAUCUGUAGCCAUGUCUCUAUUUCAUUCUUGAUACUGAUAAUUUGUGUUUUCUUUUUUUUUUCUUUAUGAGUCUAUUUAGAAAUGUAUCGGGUUUUGAUCCUUUCAAAGAACCAACUUUUGGUUUCACAGAUUUUCUAUUGUUUAUUCAUUUUCCAUUUAAUUAAAAAUUCUAUUAUUAUCAUCUUUAUUAUUUCACAUUUUCUGCUUAUUUUGGAUUUUACUUUUCUUUUGAAACUUCAAUAAAUGGAAAUUUAGAUCAUUGAUAUUAACCUUCUUUCUUUUCCAAUAUAAACAUUUAGAGAUAAAAACUUUCUAAGGACUGCUUUUUGCACGUCUCACAAAAUUUGAUAUGUUUUCAAUUUCAUACAAAAUGUUUUCUAAUUUCCCUUGCAUUUCUUCCUUGACCCAUUGAUUAUUUGGAGUAUGUUACCUAACUCCGAAAUAUUUAAAGAUUUUUCAGAUAUCUGGUUGUUUUUCUGUUCUAAUUUGAUUCUGUUGUGGUUAAAGAACAUAUCUUGUAUGAUGUCAGUCUUUUAAUGUAUUCAGACUUGUUUCAUAGUCCAGCAUAUAGUCUACCUUGUUACACAUUCCAUGUACACUUGAAAGUAAUAUGCACAGUUGACCUUUGAAUAAUUCAGAGGUUAGGGACAUAGAUCCCUCACACAGUUGAAAAUCUGUGUAUAACUUUUGACUUUCCAAAAACUUAACUACUAAUAGUCAACUGUUGACCAGAAGCCUUAUCAAUAAAAUAGUCAGCUUACACAUAUUUUGUAUGUUAUGUGUAUUAUACACUGUAUUCUUACAAUAAAGCAUGCUAGCGGAAAGAAAAUGCUAUUAAGACAAUCAUAAAGAAGAGAAAAUGUAUUUACUAUUCAUUAAGUGGAAGU